rnacentral:rRNA from 1 species
AGAAUCAACGCUGGCGGCGUGCCUAACACAUGCAAGUCGAACGAGAAAGUGGAGCAAUCCAUGAGUAAAGUGGCGCACGGGUGAGUAACACGUGACUAACCUACCCUUGAGUGGGGAAUAACCUCGGGAAACCGGGGCUAAUACCGCAUAACACCUACGGGUCAAAGGAGCAAUUCGCUUAAGGAGGGGGUCGCGGCAGAUUAGUUAGUUGGCGGGGUAAUGGCCCACCAAGACGGUGAUCUGUAUCCGGCCUGAGAGGGCGCACGGACACACUGGAACUGAAACACGGUCCAGACUCCUACGGGAGGCAGCAGUGGGGAAUUUGCGCAAUGGGGGAAACCCUGACGCAGCAACGCCGCGUGGAGGAUGAAGUCCCUUGGGACGUAAACUCCUUUCGAUCGGGACAUUAUGACGGUACCGGAAGAAGAAGCCCCGGCUAACUUCGCGCCAGCAGCCGC